rnacentral:rRNA from 1 species
AAUAGAUACCCCGGUAGUCCACGCCGUAAACGAUGAGUGCUAAGUGUUAGAGGGUUUCCGCCCUUUAGUGCUGAAGUUAACGCAUUAAGCACUCCGCCUGGGGAGUACGGCCGCAAGGCUGAAACUCAAAGGAAUUGACGGGGGCCCGCACAAGCGGUGGAGCAUGUGGUUUAAUUCGAAGCAACGCGAAGAACCUUACCAGGUCUUGACAUCCUCUGACAACCCUAGAGAUAGGGCUUCUCCUUCGGGAGCAGAGUGACAGGUGGUGCAUGGUUGUCGUCAGCUCGUGUCGUGAGAUGUUGGGUUAAGUCCCGCAACGAGCGCAACCCUUGAUCUUAGUUGCCAUCAUUAAGUUGGGCACUCUAAGGUGACUGCCGGUGACAAACCGGAGGAAGGUGAGGAUGACGUCAAAUCAUCAUGCCCCUUAUGACCUGGGCUACACACGUGCUACAAUGGACGGUACAAAGAGCUGCAAGACCGCGAGGUGGAGCUAAUCUCAUAAAACCGUUCUCAGUUCGGA